GGAGACAGUAACACCGACGCGCCUCCAGGUGGUGGGCACUGACUCUGGAGAGCCCCUGAGUGUGCCCUAAGUGCAUGCGCGUAUGUGCUUGUAUACUGUGUGCACGCCAGGCAGACAGGGGCUCAGUAAGCACAGGGGCCAAGGAGGGACGCUGGUGCAGUCACACAGACCGCCUUGCGUGGCGACCCAAGGCCUCAGGGCCCCCCAAAGUGGGGCUGGUGGGUUCUGGAGUAUGGUAGAAGUGGUCUCACUUCUUCAUCUUUAUGCUGUAGCCUGUGCCAGAAAAGGGCCCUUUCCAAACACAAAGGACCUUUCCGGUUGGACGCCGUCCUCUGGGAGAGAGGAGCUCUGGAAAGGGAAACGGGCGGCUGCGGCCACUAGAAACCCGCUGGUCCUCACAGGUCUUGGCAGCCCAAGUGCACGGCUCUGACAGCGAUGAGAAGUACAGGAUCCCCUGACACCGUCUAGGGACAUCGGGCUGAACCAGGGGUGCAGAGUGCUGGAGGAGGGGCCUUUGGACAUCACCAACUAAAGGCUUGAUUCGGAGUGUGGCCAGGCACCACGGCCAGCCCAGCAGGACACAGGAUGCUGGAGCAGAAGAAGGCAGCGGGCCUGCCAAUCAUGGUGCCCUGCUUCAGAGUGAGGCAGUUGGGAGGGCCUUCCGGAAGACAUGGAGGAAAGUCAGGGCAGCCGACGAAGCUGGAAGCCCAGACGUGGAGUCGGCUGCCCUGGGUUCCACUCACAGUGCCACAUACCAGCUGUGUGGCUCCAAGCAAGUUCAGCUCUGAUCUGGGGACAACUGCCCUCUGUGGGAGAGCUGGUCCGAGGAUUAUAAAUGCGUGCGUAAGGGGAAGGCAAAAAGCAAGGUGGCAACUCUCAGGACUACCGAUGGGAACCUGUCUGCUUCUGGGACUGGGCGAGGAAGGACAGAGUGACCUGAUCAAGGUUGCAGGCUAAUAUGGUUUGGCUGUGUCCCCACCCAAAUCUCAUCUUGAAUUGUAGCUCCCACAAUCCCCACAUGUCAUGGGA
rnacentral:lncRNA from 1 species